rnacentral:rRNA from 1 species
UACUGGUCAAUGGGCGAAAGCCUGAACCAGCCAUGCCGCGUGCAGGAAGACGGCCCUACGGGUUGUAACCUGCUUUUAUACGGGAACAAACCCCCGCUCGUGAGCGGGGCUGAGUGUACCGUAAGAAUAAGGAUCGGCUAACUCCGUGCCAGCAGCCGCGGUAAUACGGAGGAUCCGAGCGUUAUCCGGAUUUAUUGGGUUUAAAGGGUGCGUAGGCGGCGUGCUAAGUCAGUGGUGAAAGACGGUGGCUCAACCAUCGCAGUGCCGUUGAUACUGGCGCGCUUGAAUGCGGAUGAGGUAGGCGGAAUGUGGCAAGUAGCGGUGAAAUGCAUAGAUAUGCCACAGAACACCGAUUGCGAAGGCAGCUUACCAAGGCGCGAUUGACGCUGAUGCACGAAAGCGUGGGGAUCGAACAGG